GUCUCUUCGGAGACAUCCGAUAGAAUUGGUAUGAUACACAGAAGAUUAGCAUGACCUUGUGCAAGGAUGAUAUGUAUAAGUCAAGAAAUUGUUCAAAUUUUU